GACGAACGCUGGCGGCGUGCUUAACACAUGCAAGUCGAACGAAGUGGAGAACGGGUGAGUAACGCGUAAUAAACCUGCCCUUCAGAGGGGGACAACAGUUGGAAACGACGGCGAAUACCGCAUACUGAAGGAGGGGAGUGCGUAUGAUUAGCUAGUUGGAGGGGUAACGGCACACCAAGGCGCUGAUCAGUAGCCGGUCUGGGAGGAUGAACGGCCACAUUGGGACUGGUACACGGCCCAGACUCCUACGGGAGGCAGCAGUGGGGAAUCUUCCGCAAUGGACGCAAGUCUGUCGAAGCAACGCCGCGUGAGUGAUUACGGCCUUCGGGUUGUAAAGCUCUGUUUAUCGGGACGCGGUACCGGCAUAGAAAGCCACGGCUAACUACGUGCCAGCAGCCGCGGUAAUUC
rnacentral:rRNA from 1 species